rnacentral:lncRNA from 1 species
GCAGGAAGUUUCUAAAUGAGAAUGCUUCCAAGUGGUAACAAGCCCUUGACUCCACUUCCGACUGGGAAGAAAUGAAGAUAAGAAUCUGAGUGCCACCCAGCAUGCCUGGUCCUGCCCUCUGGAAGCUCACAUUCUAUGGGGAAGAAAUUUAACUACAGUGUGGCAGGUGCCAUGAUAGUAGUCAGCAGAGGGAUAUGGGACCACAAAGAAAUACAACCUGACGUUGCCUUGGGAGGUUGCAGAAGGCUUCCUGGAGGUGAUGGCAGAGCAGAAAGUCUAGGAAGACAGAGACUUGGUCUUGCUCACCUUCCUUCACUCAUGGAAUCCAGCACAGUGCUUUGCAUGUGGUAAGUGCUCAUCUAAUCUGUUGGGUGAAGGACACUCUCAAAGUCCCUUCCGGCUUUAUGAUUCCAUGAUUCUGUGACCACAGAGGCCCAUGGUCAUCAGAUAGUGGAAGGUGCUACCAGCAGACAGCACGAAGAUGAGCCGACGUGGGGUUUUGCAGUAUGCAAAGUAAUUUAUGAACAAUUAAACUGGAAGUGGGGGAAGGAGAGCAUAAUGAGCCUCCCUCCUUAGCGUUUCUGGGCGCAUCCUUAGGUGUAGCAGCAGGAACACAGCCAGCGCACCUGCCCCACGUGCAUCAUCAGAGUUGACGUCUCACUCUCCACAAAGCAAAGAGCUGAGCUCACCUGGGAGAUGACCUUGUGACAAGAAUACCAAGCUGAGUCCAGAUCAGCAAAGAGAGGACAGGAAGAGGAAGAGGAAGAGAAGCAGAGGCAGCCAUGCGAAGCAGUGACUGGCAGAAACCGAGUCAGAACGGCUGGUUAACAUCAUUUUUAAGCCUCAUCAGAGUCGUUCUAAUUUUUUUAAGGUACCCAGCAUGGGUGACCUGUCUUCCCUUCCCAGAGAAGAAAAGCAAAUUCCACGCAAAGAACAUUUUUCAUCCAGUAACUCCCACCAUGUUCAAGAUGUGUCUCUGGCCUUUGCUUAUGUAUUUCUUCAACAGAGCUGGUAAAGAAGCCCAGGUUUUGUUCUUUGGAUGGCAUAUCUAUGGCAGCUCUCUUCAAAGUAUAUAUGCAUUCUACAUAUGGAGUUCCUAGUCAGUGGCGUAAGUCAACUGAUACUAACUGAACAUUAGCCUCUUGCGAAAUCACAAUACAAAACAUGGUGCUGGACACCGUAGGGGAUCCCAGGAAGCCAUAAUCCUUACCCACAAGGAACUAACAGUUGAAUUACGGAAAU